ACCAGGUGUCAUAGACCUUCGGUCCAUGGGGAUAGCUGUCUUCUCCGGCGAGGUUAUACCCCUCUGCCGCAGGCUUGGUUCUAGGGUAGCAGCCCUAGGCGCUUGAGAGGGUCAUUGCAAGGGAGAGAGAUUGGUUUGUUAAUGAUCUUGCUUGAUUUAUUCCCUGCUGCCAUGCGGCUUAUAAAUAGCCCUAUGGCUAACCAACUUCCCCUACAAACUCUCAACUAACUCCUACUUUCUUGGACUUAUCUGAUGCUAACCAACUCUCCACAAUUCUCCCAUUUCAAUCUUAUUCUCUAACCUUAUCCCAGUUCGUCUCAAUCUUAUUCUCUAGCCUUAUCCCAGCCUGGCCGUUGCCUCUCGCUCCCUAUUAUGCCCAUGACAUGGAACAAUGUCAUUGCUUUCUUUUGCUGUGAAAUCGAACAUCAUGGUUGCAUUUGAAUAAAAUCUUUGGCUUAUGUGUGAACAAUUUCUUUUGAGGAAAUGAACCUUGCCUUGCCAAUAUUUGGCCUGUAUGAAAAUGGACAACCAGUGGGAUUUUCUGCAAUCAUUUGGGGACAUGCAACAGGUUAAUCCCAUGCAAUUUACACAACUCAUGCAAAUGGGAGUAGAACCUGUCAGGGAUGCAAACCUUGGAGACCCACCAGUUUUCCCAUAGUCACAAGCAGAACAACCAAGUGGAAAUCAACCUUCAAGGUGUAACCAGAGGGGGAAGCAAUACCACUUCAGUAUUGAGGAGUACAAAAUCUUGGUUUCUUGCUGGCUUAAUGUCAGCCUUGAUCCUAUAUUUGGUGCUGGACAAUGGAAGGCGUCAUUUUGGAGGACUAUAGAAUAAAACUACAACUCUCAGAAAUCAACAGGACAUCCAGUCCGCACACUUAGGAGUUUGGAAUGGAGGUAACUACAGCUAUAAACCUUUACAAUAGCAUCGAAUGCAAGCCUAUAAUCACCACCCAUUGCUGGGAGAUUCUUAGAAAUGAGGCAAAAUGGUUGGAUUUGUAGAGGAAGGCUACUCAGGUCAUGGAAGAGUUGGUAAAGAGAAAGUAGUAUAUGUUCCAGACUCCAUAAAUGGCGAUGACGAAACUGAUGACACUAGUCGAGGAACUUAGAGGCCCAUGGGAAUGGACGCUGCAAAGGCUACAAAAAGAAACGUUUCCAAUGAAACCUUCAUCCAAUCUAGCUCAGAGUACACGAGUUUGAUGUUAAACUUGCAUCUGGAGCGGAUUUGAGCAUAUAAAGAAGUGCAAGGUGUUAUGGCUGUGAACGUUGACCAACUUAUUACAGUUCAAGAGAAAUCUUUCACCCAAAAACAGGAGAUUGUCAAGCAGGUGGUUGAAUUGAAAAAGGAAAUGGGAGGUCGAAGCAGCUGAGAAGGCAACUCUCGAAGAAGAUAGAAUCAUGAAUCUUGAUCGAAACACCCUAAGUGGUCCGCAAAGGGCCUACUAUGAGGCUCAACAAUGUCGUAUUUUGCAAUGUGUUUACAUACUUUGUGAGCGUUAUUUAUGUUCUUACAUACUUUGUUUUGAAUUCAUGCAUUGCAAACAUUUAUAGCUGGCUUCGUCCAACUAUAAGCUUGUAUUUGUGAGACUCAGUUUUGUGACAAAUUAAGUAUUUCGAACGAUGGCA
rnacentral:lncRNA from 1 species